rnacentral:rRNA from 1 species
UUAAAGUNUNNNCCUGCCCNCUGAUGUGAAUUAAAGGGCCGCGGUAUUCCUGNCCGUGCGAAGGUAGCAUAAUCAUUAGUCUUUUAAUUGGAGGCUCGUAUGAAUGGUUGGACGAAAAAUAAUCUGUCUCUUAGCUGAAAAUUGAAUUUAACAUUUAAGUGAAAAGGCUUAAAUAUAGUAAAAAGACGAUAAGACCCUAUAAAUCUUUACAUUAUCUUANGGUUUAAGGUCUAAAUAUAAGUAAAAUGUUUUUAAACUUUUUAUAAUGUUUUGUUGGGGCAACAUGAAUAGCAAUAUUUAUCUGUUUAUAAAAGUUACAANAAAUUUUUGANNGNAUAAAAAUAAGAUCCUUCUUANAGAUUACAAGAUUAANUUACUUUAGGGAUAACAGCGUUAUUUUACNNGAGAGUUCNUAUCGAAAGUAAAGUUUGCGACCUCGAUGUNGAAUUAAAAUUCUNUAUGNNNNAGCCGCUAUAGAAGAGA